GGAUUCCCCUAGUAACUGCGAGUGAAGCGGGAAAAGCUCAAAUUUAAAAUCUGGCAGUCUCUGGCUGUCCGAGUUGUAAUUUAGAGAAGUGUUACCCGCGCUGGACCGUGUACAAGUCCUCUGGAAUGGGGCGUCAUAGAGGGUGAGAAUCCCGUCUUUGAUACGGACUACCAGUGCUUUUGUGGUGCGCUCUCGAAGAGUCGAGUUGUUUGGGAAUGCAGCUCAAAAUGGGUGGUAAAUUCCAUCUAAAGCUAAAUACAGGCGAGAGACCGAUAGCGAACAAGUACCGUGAGGGAAAGAUGAAAAGAACUUUGGAAAGAGAGUUAAACAGUACGUGAAAUUGCUGAAAGGGAAACGCUUGAAGUCAGUCGCGUCUGCUGAGAAUCAGCCUUGCUUGCAUGGUGUACUUCUCAGUUGACGGGUCAACAUCAGUUUUGAUCAUUGGAUAAGGGCCAGAGAAAUGUGGCACCCUCGGGUGUGUUAUAGUCUCUGGUCGUAUACAGUGGUUGGGACUGAGGAACUCAGCACGCCGCAAGGCCGGGUUUUUAACCACGUACGUGCUUAGGAUGUUGACAUAAUGGCUUUAAUCGACCCGUCUUGAAACACGGACCAAGGAGUCUAACAUGCCUGCGAGUGUUUGGGUGGAAAACCCGAGCGCGUAAUGAAAGUGAAAGUUGAGAUCCCUGUCGUGGGGAGCAUCGACGCCCAGACCUGAUGUUUACUGACGGCCCUGCGGUAGAGCAUGUAUGUUGGGACCCGAAAGAUGGUGAACUAUGCCUGAAUAGGGUGAAGCCAGAGGAAACUCUGGUGGAGGCUCGUAGCGAUUCUGACGUGCAAAUCGAUCGUCGAAUUUG
rnacentral:rRNA from 1 species